rnacentral:lncRNA from 10 species
AAGAUGAUGGGUGGGUUAAUUUGCUUGGCUGGAGUAAGCAUUUUACCGUGUAUAGUUAUAUAAAAAUAUCAUGUUGUACACCUUAAAUAUAUACAAUUUAAAAAGCCAAACAAAAUACAAAAUCAGCAACUCUUCUUAGAUCUGUCAGAGAAGUGAGGCCACAGGGCAAUCACUGGCCCCAAAAUUGGAGAGACAGACAGGUGGAUACAGAGCAUCCUAUGGCAUAUCCCAAGUGAUCACAUUUUAACACAAAGAAAAACACCAAGAAAUUCCAAAAUGUAAAAAUAGUGCAGAAGGCAUUUUCUGUUCAUGAUGUAAUAUAGCCCGAUCUUAAUAAUAAAACAAAAUAAUAAAACAACAAGAUAUUCUAAUAUCUGGGAAAAAAACCCCAAAACUCUUUUUAAAGCAACUCUUGGAUCAUAAAGAAAAUCAAAAUCAAACCUAAUAUUCAGAAAAUAAGAAAAUGUUUAAAUUUAAAAUAAAAAUAUGUUUUAAGGAAAGAUAGAAGAUAGAAGCUAUGAAGCUAUAUGAAAAAGAAAGCAAGGAAAUGAAAAAGAAUUCAGCAUGAUCUUUAUCUCUGGUGGUUGGAGGAGUAGUAUGGACAGAAGCAGAGGGAGGGAAUGGGAGGGGCAAUAUAGGUAGAUGGAGUUUAUUGUCAAGACGCAUUGGGUGAUGGGCCCAUAUUUUAAAAAUUAUGUUAAAAAAUGGAAGAACUAAACAAAAGAUGGCUAUGCAUUUACCAAUGAUGAGAGUGUAACAUAAAUUAAGGAUGAUGAUUAAUCCAAUUCUGUGCCAAAAACUAAUUUAGAAAUAACUAUAUACUAGAACCUAAGGAGUGCAAUUUAAAGCAGUGCUCAGAGGAAAAUUCAUAGUCUUCCAUAUGUAGAAUAAUAAAAAGACUGAUAAUGAAAGAAGUAACAUCUGACUCAAAGAAUUAAUAAAAAGAACUGAAUGAUAAUAAUAAACCUAAAGAAAGUAGAAACUAAAAGCAGAAAUUAUUUAACUAAUAACAAACAAAGUGGUAUGUGUAGUGGUCAGAUUGAAAUAAAUUAUGGACUAUCUGUACAGUGCAAUACUCUGUGGCUAUGAAAAAGGGAAGAGAAAGCUCUCUCUGGAUUGAUAGGGAAUAAUUGCCAAGCUAUGUAUAAUAGCUAAGUAAAAAAAAAAAGCAAGGUGCUUUUGUGUAACGUAUGCUAUCAUUUGUCCUUUGUGUAAGAAUCAGGAAAGAUAAAGAAUAUCCACACACACACAC